rnacentral:rRNA from 1 species
AACGAACGCUGGCGGCAUGCCUAACACAUGCAAGUCGAACGAGACCUUCGGGUCUAGUGGCGCACGGGUGCGUAACGCGUGGGAACCUGCCCUUAGGUUCGGAAUAACUCCCCGAAAGGGGUGCUAAUACCGGAUAAUGUCUUCGGACCAAAGAUUUAUCGCCUUUGGAUGGGCCCGCGUUGGAUUCGCUAGUUGGUAGGGUAAAAGCCUACCAAGGCGACGAUCCAUAGCUGGUCUGAGGGGAUGAUCAGCCACACUGGGACUGAGACACGGCCCAGACUCCGACGGGAGGCAGCAGUGGGGAAUAUUGGACAAUGGGCGAAAGCCUGAUCCAGCAAUGCCGCGUGAGUGAUGAAGGCCUUAGGGUUGUAAAGCUCUUUUACCCGGGAUGAUAAUGACAGUACCGGGAGAAUAAGCUCCGGCUAACUCCGUG